CUACGGGUUGCAGCAGACGAGAAUAUUCGACAAUGGGCGAAAGCCUGAUCGAGCGACGCCGCGUGGAGGAUGAAGUGCUUCGGUAUGUAAACUCCUUUUGCCAGGGAAAAAGUUUAUUGAUUGUACCUGGAGAAUAAGACGUUGCUAAACUCGUGCCAGCAGCAGCGGUAAUACGAGUGCGUCGAGCGUUAUCCGGAAUCAUUGGGCGUAAAGGGUGUGUAGGUGGCGUUGUUAGUUUCCUGUAAAAUUCCUCGGCUCAACCGGGGGCGCGCGGGAAAUACGGCAAUGCUUGAGGUUGGUAGGGGUUUCUGGAACUCUAAGUGUAGCGGUGAAAUGCGUUGAUAUUUAGGGGAACACCAAAAGCGAAGGCAGGAAACUGGACCAAAUCUGACACUGAAACACGAAAGCGUGGGUAGCGAAUGGGAUUAGAUACCCCGGUAGUC
rnacentral:rRNA from 1 species